ensembl:lncRNA
CUAACCCUAACCAUAACCCUAAACCUAACCCUAACCCUAACCCUAAGCUAACCCUAACCCUAACAUUGCCCUAACCCUAACCCUAACCCUAACCCUAAACCUAACCCUUACCUAACCCUAACACUAACAAAAACCCUAGCCCUAACCCUAACCGUAACCCUAACCCAACCCAAACCCUAACACUAACCCUAAUCCUAACCCCAACCCUAACCCUUACUCUAUCCCUGCCCAAACCGAAACACUAACCCUAACUUUAAGCUAACCCUAUGCCUAAACCUAUCCCUAACCUUAACACUAACCCUAACCCAAAUCCUAACCCUAACACUACCGUAACCCUAACCCUAAACCAAACCCUAUCCUUAACCAUAAUCCUUACACUAAGCCUAACCCUACUCGAAAUCUUACCCGAACAUAACCCUAACCCUAACCCGAACCCUAACCCUUACCUAACCCUAACCCUAACCCUAACCCUAGCCCUAACCCUAACCGUAACCCUAACCCAACCCAAACCCUAACCCUAACCCUAAUCCUAACCCCAACACUAACCCUUACCCUAUCCCUGCCCGAACCGUAACCCUAACCCUAACUUUAAGCUAAACCUAUGCCUAAACCUAUCCCUAACCUUAACACUAACCCUAACCCGAAUACUAACCCUAACACUACCGUAACCCUAACCCUAAACCAAACCCUAUCCUUAACCAUAAUCCUUACACUAAGCCUAACCCUACUCGAAAUCUUACCCGAACAUAACCCUAACCGUAACCGUAACCUUAAGCCUAACCCUUACUUUAACCCUAGCACUAACCCCAAACCAAAUGCUAAAUAUAAUUUUAAAUGUAACCCUAACCUAAUCCAUAAAUGUAACCCCACCCAAACCCCUACUCUAGCCUCAAUCCAACUCUACAGGAACCAUAACCCUAACCCUAACCAUAACCCUAACCCUAUCACUAACCGUAACCCAUACCCUAAUCUUACCCUAAGCCUAACGCUAAACCUAAUCCUAACACAAACCUAACUCUGACUCUAAAGCAAAACAUAACAUUAACCACAACCUUAACCCUUACCCUUUCAAUAACCCUAACCCUAACCCUAACCCUAACCCUAAAACUACGCGAACCCUAACCCUAACCUUAACCCUAACCCUACCCUGACCCAUACCCUAACCCUUACCCUAACCCUAACCCUAACCCUAACCCUAACCCUAAACCUAAACCUAACCAUAACCCUAACCCUACCCUAAACCUAACCCUAACCCUAACCCUAACCCUAACCCUAACCCUACCCGAAC